rnacentral:lncRNA from 1 species
AAGGAGUGGGAACACAUGGUCAAGAUGGGGUUUUCCUUUAUCUGGGGAAGAUGAGAGCUGGGAGAGCUGUGGCGUAAACUCCUUGGGGCCUGGGAUGCUUCCCAAGGCUGAGAGAGGGCAGAUGAGAGGCGGCAGGAACAGGCAUGAAGAGCUGGGACACGAGGCCCACGGACAUGAGUGCGGGCUGGAGAGGCAGGCUGGAGGAGCUCGCCAUAGCAGAUCAGGCCAUACAGUUCCUGGGAUGACUUCUUCAGGCCUCGAGAGAACACUGAGAAACAGAAGAGAAGGCGGCUUUAGAGAGGGGAACAGGAGGCGCUGCCUGGCUUGGGUGUGAGAGCCACACCAGGCUCACGUGGUUUCUUGGAUCUCCUCCCUGUACCUUUGUCAUGCAAGCUGUCAACCACAGGGGACACUGGGCAGAGUGUAUAGAACACGGUGCUGUGUCUGCGAUUUUCAAAAUAAAAAGUUAAACCAAAGUGGGGCGUUAGAAAUUUACCCCAAUAGGCAGAGGAAAUGUCCCCUGGAGGAGAAAACACAACACUCAGAACAGCUGGUACUCGUGAAGGUGGCAGAUGUGGCCAGCACUAAACCUGUCAUCCAUCUCUGCACACAGGUGAGGCCAGCAGCCCUGAAACCUGGAUGCUGCCUUCCUGCCUCACCUGUGCCCUCCCAGGACAGUGGAUCUGCAUAGCCCGGGCCCAGGCGGGAG